UACGUAGGGUGCGAGCGUUAAUCGGAAUUACUGGGCGUAAAGCGUGCGCAGGCGGCUUUGCAAGACAGAUGUGAAAUCCCCGGGCUCAACCUGGGAACUGCAUUUGUGACUGUAUAGCUAGAGUACGGUAGAGGGGGAUGGAAUUCCGCGUGUAGCAGUGAAAUGCGGAGAUAUGCGGAGGAACACCGAUGGCGAAGGCAAUCCCCUGGACCUGUACUGACGCUCAUGCACGAAAGCGUGGGGAGCAAACAGG
rnacentral:rRNA from 1 species